GGAAAAAAGGGUGAUCGCUUUGAACAUAGCUUUAAAAGAGGAAAGUCCGGUCACCAUAGGACAAGGUGGUGGGUAACGCCCACCAGAAGUAAUUCUAGGGAAAGUGCCACAGAAAACAAACCACUUCAUUCAUAUUCUUAUGUCCUCCUUUCAUAAAUUUCUAUAUUGAAUGAAGUAAGGGUGAAAAGGCGAGGUAAGAGCUCACCGCAAAAAUGGCGACAUUUUUGGCAUGGUAAACCCCACCUAGUGAAAGGUCAAAUAGGAAAGAAGAAGUUGUCCGCUUCGUUAGACUUUUGGGUAGACUGCUUGAAUGAUAUGGCAACAUCUCAUCUAGAUAAAUGAUCACCACUUUUUAGAUAAAAUUAAAAAGGACAGAAACCGGCUUAUUUUUUUCCAUAC
rnacentral:RNase_P_RNA from 1 species